CUAUGAAUCUACUAUACUUAACCCUCCGUUUAAUGAUCAAAGGAAACAAAGAUCGCCCUCAAGGCAAGCAUGACUCAACCUCAAAAUGAUGAGGACUCUAACAACGGAGAUAACGAGUUCGGACUCGUUAUUAAGAGGUUUCAAAAGUUCAUGCGAAAAGAGUAUGAACGAAAAGGCAAACAACAAGGAGAUCAAGUAANN
rnacentral:lncRNA from 1 species